rnacentral:rRNA from 1 species
UACGUAGGGUGCAAGCGUUAAUCGGAAUUACUGGGCGUAAAGCGUGCGCAGGCGGUUUUGUAAGUCAGAUGUGAAAUCCCCGGGCUUAACCUGGGAACUGCGUUUGAAACUACAAGGCUAGAGUGUGGCAGAGGGGGAUGGAAUUCCGCGUGUAGCAGUGAAAUGCGUAGAUAUGCGGAGGAACACCGAUGGCGAAGGCAAUCCCCUGGGCCUGCACUGACGCUCAUGCACGAAAGCGUGGGGAGCAAACAGG